AAUAAAACGAUGACGGAGAACAAUGGUAGAUGUGGGAUAAACAGAGAGCCGGUGGUCGCUGUGAACCGGUUAUUCCUAAUACCAGGACAUCCCUCCUGAGUGUCCUUUUGAACGUUUCUUAGUAGGAAGGGCCAAGCGAUAACACCAUUUUUUAUCGCUUGUUAUCAAUAUGACGACUCGUUCGUCUUGAGGCAGUCCUUGCGUGUGUCAGCAAGCACUGUGAAUAAGGGUGGUACCGUGGAAAAUAAACUUUUUCACCCCUUUG
rnacentral:ncRNA from 1 species